UUAAAGUGUGCCGGCCAGGUGCUGAGUAAAAACUGCGACACCCGAGACUUCAUGAUCCAAUAUACCCGGCUAACGGCAGUGUGUUUAUAUAUAAAGUGCUCAGCUGGAAGUUGUCGAAUAAUAAAGUCGUUGUUGGUGUAGUGAGAAUAUUCUUUAAAUGUAAAAAGAUUGCUUAUUGUAUUUUUUUUUUUAAUGAGUACGUGAACAAAAUAUUCGUAAAUCGCUGUA